rnacentral:rRNA from 1 species
ACAGCAGCCGCCGCGGUAAUACAGAGGGUGCGAGCGUUAAUCGGAUUUACUGGGCGUAAAGCGUGCGUAGGCGGCUUUUUAAGUCGGAUGUGAAAUCCCUGAGCUUAACUUAGGAAUUGCAUUCGAUACUGGGAAGCUAGAGUAUGGGAGAGGAUGGUAGAAUUCCAGGUGUAGCGGUGAAAUGCGUAGAGAUCUGGAGGAAUACCGAUGGCGAAGGCAGCCAUCUGGCCUAAUACUGACGCUGAGGUACGAAAGCAUGGGGAGCAAACAGGAUUAGAUACCCCUGUAGUCCCUGUCUCUUAUAA